rnacentral:rRNA from 1 species
UACGGGGGGGGCAAGCGUUGUUCGGAAUUACUGGGCGUAAAGGGCUCGUAGGCGGCCAACUAAGUCGGAUGUGAAAUCCCCAGGCUCAACUUGGGAACUGCAUCCGAUACUGGAUGGCUUGAAUUCGGGAGAGGGAUGCAGAAUUCCAGGUGUAGCGGUGAAAUGCGUAGAUAUCUGGAGGAACACCUGUGGCGAAAGCGGCUCACUGGACCACAACUGACGCUGAGGCGCGAAAGCUAGGGGAGCAAACAGG